rnacentral:rRNA from 1 species
CAUGAUUAAAGGUAUUCCGGUAGACGAUGGGGAUGCGUUCCAUUAGAUAGUAGGCGGGGUAACGGCCCACCUAGUCUUCGAUGGAUAGGGGUUCUGAGAGGAAGGUCCCCCACAUUGGAACUGAGACACGGUCCAAACUCCUACGGGAGGCAGCAGUGAGGAAUAUUGGUCAAUGGGCGAGAGCCUGAACCAGCCAAGUAGCGUGAAGGAUGACUGCCCUAUGGGUUGUAAACUUCUUUUAUAAAGGAAUAAAGUCGGGUAUGCAUACCCGUUUGCAUGUACUUUAUGAAUAAGGAUCGGCUAACUCCGUGCCAGCAGCCGCGGUAAUACGGAGGAUCCGAGCGUUAUCCGGAUUUAUUGGGUCUAAAGGGAGCGUAGAUGGAUGUUUAAGUCAGUUGUGAAAGUUUGCGGCUCAACCGUAAAAUUGCAGUUGAUACUGGAUAUCUUGAGUGCAGUUGAGGCAGGCGGAAUUCGUGGUGUAGCGGUGAAAUGCUUAGAUAUCACGAGGAACUCCGAUUGCGAAGGCAGCCUGCUAAGCUGCAACUGACAUUGAGGCUCGAAAGUGUGGGUAUCAAACAGGAUUAGAUACCCUGGUAGUCCACACGGUAAACGAUGAAUACUCGCUGUUUGCGAUAUACAGCAAGCGGCCAAGCGAAAGCGUUAAGUAUUCCACCUGGGGAGUACGCCGGCAACGGUGAAACUCAAAGGAAUUGACGGGGGCCCGCACAAGCGGAGGAACAUGUGGUUUAAUUCGAUGAUACGCGAGGAACCUUACCCGGGCUUAAAUUGCAGAUGAAUUACGGUGAAAGCCGUAAGCCGCAAGGCAUCUGUGAAGGUGCUGCAUGGUUGUCGUCAGCUCGUGCCGUGAGGUGUCGGCUUAAGUGCCAUAACGAGCGCAACCCUUGUUGUCAGUUACUAACAGGUCAUGCUGAGGACUCUGACAAGACUGCCAUCGUAAGAUGUGAGGAAGGUGGGGAUGACGUCAAAUCAGCACGGCCCUUACGUCCGGGGCUACACACGUGUUACAAUGGGGGGUACAGAGGGCCGCUACCACGCGAGUGGAUGCCAAUCCCAAAAACCUCUCUCAGUUCGGACUGGAGUCUGCAACCCGACUCCACGAAGCUGGAUUCGCUAGUAAUCGCGCAUCAGCCACGGCGCGGUGAAUACGUUCCCGGGCCUUGUACACACCGCCCGUCAAGCCAUGGGAGCCGGGGGUACCUGAAGUGCGUAACCGCGAGGAGCGCCCUAGGGUAAAACUGGUGACUGGGGCUAAGUCGAAACAAGGUA